AAGUCGAGAAAAGACACACCGGUAACACGAGAAAUUUUGACAUACCUGGUAGUGUCAUCAGGUCCGGUGCUGGUAGAACUGCUACAUCCAGUCUUCGGCUUUCCGACGUCCUGGCUAGGAGGUUUAGUUGUGGAACCAGCUAAACUUGACAAACCUGUCUUUUCGACCUCCAUUGUCAGCUGGUGUGGAGAACUGUUCUAGCCGGUUGACUUUCACAAACCUGUUUCAGUACGGAAACUGGCCAACGUAUAAGUAGGCCGGAAAGCUACUACUUUAUAGAACGUCGUAGCCUUUCUCUGUCUAGUAAUCGUCGGUUAAACAACGCCAGUCACUGGAUGCGUCUCUCUACACAAGGUCCAUCCCACACUCUGCGCCAGGUAAAGAAGCCUCCAGGUGAAGUAAUGGCGGUUGUAACUUCCCAUCCACUUUGUUCGACUAGUUGUGUGUUGUGACCAGUGUCGAAAGCCAUCCUCACAUCUUGACAUCAAAAAAAUACAAUUAUUUUUUACAUUGUUUACGACGAAUUUUAUGUGAAAUUAUUCCCAACGUACGAAAAGUGCAUUAGAUCGCGGUCACAUGACUAUAUCUAUACAACUACCUUUCUGACGUCAUCAGGUUCGUGAGAAUAAAGCGGAUACUUUAUGUACGAGUGGUGUUGGUGGUGUUUUAUUUAAUCGCACACUCUUAACACACACACACAAAAGAAAAAAACAUGAGACAUCAUAUAGGAAAAUAGCUAACGAAUUCGUGUAAGUAGGCACAUUUUCCUCGAAUUUUGCAACGUGUACGUCCAUUAAUUAUGAAUCACUUCAAUGCCAAAAUAUUCUCAGAUAACGAAUUAUUGUUUGAAAACUGCUCACUGAU